rnacentral:misc_RNA from 1 species
UCCAGAUUCACUGAAUCCCAAGCCACCUCCACUCGUGGUGGCCAAUGAACCUCUCAUCCGCCGCCUGCCAUGAGAUGCCAUUAAAACCCUUUCUCCUCCUCCGCCCCGCCUUCUCGCCCUUCUCCAAGCGCUGCCGCCGGAGCCUCGCCGGAACGCCGCCCAUGGCCUCCAUCUCCCCCGUCGUCCCCGCCGAGGAGGGAUCGAGAGCGAUCGAGCAGUCCGCACCUCGUCCGCUGCAGGUAGCAAAGCGUCUGGAGAAGUUCAAAACCACCAUCUUCACUCAGAUGAGCAUGCUUGCUGUCAAACACGGGGCAAUAAAUCUUGGUCAGGGGUUCCCGAACUUUGAUGGACCCGAGUUCGUCAAAGCAGCAGCCAUUCAAGCAAUCAAAGAUGGCAAAAACCAAUAUGCUAGGGGCUAUGGUGUUCCUGAUCUCAAUUCCGCUAUAGCUGCCAGGUUCAAG